rnacentral:rRNA from 1 species
GACGAACGCUGGCGGCGUGCCUAAUACAUGCAAGUCGAACGCACAGUUUAUACCGUAGCUUGCUACACCAUAGACUGUGAGUUGCGAACGGGUGAGUAACGCGUAGGUAACCUGCCUGGUAGCGGGGGAUAACUAUUGGAAACGAUAGCUAAUACCGCAUAAUAUUAAUUAUUGCAUGAUAAUUAAUUGAAAGGUGCAAUUGCACCACUACCAGAUGGACCUGCGUUGUAUUAGCUAGUAGGUGAGGUAACGGCUCACCUAGGCGACGAUACAUCGCCGACCUGAGAGGGUGAUCGGCCACACUGGGACUGAGACACGGCCCAGACUCCUACGGGAGGCAGCAGUAGGGAAUCUUCGGCAAUGGACGAAAGUCUGACCGAGCAACGCCGCGUGAGUGAAGAAGGGUUUCGGAUCGUAAAGCUCUGUUGUAAGAGAAGAACGGGUGUGAGAGUGGAAAGUUCACACUGUGACGGUAUCUUACCAGAAAGGGACGGCUAACUACGUG